CCUCAGCCUCUGGCAACCACCAUUCCACUUUCUGUUUCUAUGAAUAUGACUGCUCUACAUACCUUAUAUAAGUGGCAUCACACAGUAUUUGUCUUUCUGUGACUGGCUUAUUUCACUUAGCAUAAUCUCCUCAGGGCA